GUGCGGCGUCCUUCUGAAUUCCCCCGACCGUCCGAGCUUCCACAGUACCGUCUGGACUCCUCCAGCAAUCGACCUUCCACAGUGUCUUUCAGAUUUCUCCAAUGGAUGAACCCCUAUCGUACCCUCCGGACUUCUCCAAUAAUGAGCUCCUUCAGUCAUCUAUCGAACUGCUCCAAAUGCUCUCUGGACUUCACUAUUGAUCGAUUUUCUACAGUGAUCGACUACUCUCCGAAUCU
rnacentral:lncRNA from 1 species